UCCCCCUCAAACCCCUCCCAGAGCCUUAGGCAGGUGGGAGCGGAGUUUCGGGGGGGCGGGUUCUGGGCACCACCAAAACUUCUACAAACUUGCCAUCCAUGAACAGUGGAGGCUGGA